GAGACCUGAAACCCCAGUUUUCACUUGAACUAUGAGAUCGGUGACAAGAAUUGCUAUUCUCCUAACUUUGGGUAUUAUGGGUGAUGCUAAAUCCACUCAGCCAGAUGCAAUGGAGAGUACUGAAGAAGAAGCUGUGCACCUGCCCUGUAACCACUCCACAAUUAUUGUGAGUGAGUAUAUACAUUGGUAUCGACAGCUUCCCCACCAGGGUCCAGAGCAUGUGAUUCAUGGUCUAAAAGACAACGUGACCAAAGAAAUGGCCUCUCUGAUCAUCACAACAGACAGAAAGUCCAGUACCUUGAUCCUGCCCCAGGUUACCGUGAGAGACUCUGCUGUGUACUACUGCAUCUUGAGAGACACAGUGGGACAGAUGGGGCUGCACCUGUGCAAUAUCUUGCACGGGUGGCAAGAAGGGAAGCAGCAGCAGCAUCUCAAGAACUCACUGCACAAGAAAGAAUGA